AGGACUGAGACAGAAAAUGUUGGAUUUGAAUUGAAAGAGAAAAUGAAGGUUUUCCACAGAGCACAGACAAUAGCACGGGAGAGAGCGAUCCGGAAAUCAAGGCUUGUAAGGAGACUGAAAGAGUUGGAGGUCGCCAGAGAACAGUUAUGUAAAGAUAGAGAGCUGAGUCGGGAACUGAAUUUGUCAGAGUGAGAUGCACUAAAAUCACCCCAGGAAAUGACAGCAGGAAAGAGUGUUGGGCUGAAAGGAAAACAAAUGCAGGCGCCAUAUGCAUUUUUACACUGGUGAACCUAUUGUCUGAUUAGCACCCAAUUUUACUUUUAAAAAAAGUGCAAAAUGCAUGUGAUUUGA